rnacentral:rRNA from 1 species
UACAGAGGUCUCAGGCGUUGUUCGGAUUCAUUGGGCGUAAAGGGUGCGUAGGCGGCGCGGUAAGUCGGGUGUGAAAUCUCGGGGCUUAACUCCGAAACUGCAUUCGAUACUGCCGUGCUUGAGGACUGGAGAGGAGACUGGAAUUUACGGUGUAGCGGUGAAAUGCGUAGAUAUCGUAAGGAAGACCAGUGGCGAAGGCGAAUCUCUGGACAGUUACUGACACUGAGGCACGAAGGCCAGGGGAGCAAACGGG